GACGCGGAGGCCAGCUCACCGGUAGUGGAACAGAAAGAAAAUGAAUGGAUAAAAUCCUCUGUCUAAAUGGCUCUGUUCACAUCCGAGGAACAAGAAAGAAUUAGAAGACAUGCUAUUCGGUCAGUGCUGGGGGGAACUAAGGGGCUUGUUGACAACCAAGAACAACAGGCCCAAAAUGAAGCACAACUCCCCAUCUCCCGUCCCAAAUGGGAAUCGAAUUCCACCAGAGGUAAGGAAGCUCUUCGCAACUACCGUCAGCAUCUCCUGGCCAGCCUUAGGGGAGCCACUCACAAGCCUACCAAUUUGAGCAAGGUAAGCGAGGUCCUACAAGGGCCUGAGGAAUCCCCCUCUGCCUUCCUGGAGUGUUUACUGGAGGUGUACCGCACAUACACUCCAAUUGACCCAGACGCUCCAGCGAACAGGCAGGCAAUUAAUCUGGCUUUUGUAACUCAGUUGGCCCCCAGAUAUUCAAAAAAAAUUACAGAGAAUUGAGGGCUUUGAAGGAGAGAAUAGGGAAAAAUUGAUAAGUGUAGCAAUGAAGGUGUUCA